UACGUAGGGGGCAAGCGUUGUCCGGAUUUAGUGGGCGUAAAGAGCGUGUAGGCGGCUAGAUAGGUCCGUUGUGAAAACUCGAGGCUCAACCUCGAGACGUCGAUGGAAACCAUCUGGCUAGAGUCCGGAAGAGGAGAGUGGAAUUCCUGGUGUAGCGGUGAAAUGCGCAGAUAUCAGGAAGAACACCCGUGGCGAAGGCGGCUCUCUGGUACGUGACUGACGCUGAGACGCGAAAGCGUGGGGAGCGAACAGG
rnacentral:rRNA from 1 species